rnacentral:rRNA from 1 species
CUAUGCGCCUUGCCAGCCCGCUCAGGUGUGCCAGCAGCCGCGGUAAUACGUAGGGGCAAGCGUUAUCCGGAUUUACUGGGUGUAAAGGGAGCGUAGACGGCCAGACAAGUCUGAAGUGAAAAUCCAGCGCUUAACGUUGGAAGUGCUUUGGAAACUGCCGGGCUAGAGUGCAGGAGGGGCAGGCGGAAUUCCUAGUGUAGCGGUGAAAUGCGUAGAUAUUAGGAGGAACACCAGUGGCGAAGGCGGCCUGCUGGACAGUAACUGACGCUGAGGCGCGAAAGCGUGGGGAGCAAACAGG